CAAAAUAUUGUCCCUGUUGCCCUUUCUCUUCACUUUCUCCUCUUUCUUUUCUCUUCAGUCUUUCGCGGCUUCUGCGUCUUCAAUUUGUUGACUAAAGCCUCUGUUUGGUUCGUGAGAAAAUUUAGCACAAGAAAGCUGAGUUGGUGGCUGAGUUCCCAACUCCAAUUUAAAGUCCAAGCUAUCUAAUCAGUUGGACAAAGAUGUCGGAUCACAAGGCCAAUAUUAUAGACGGCAAAGCCAUCGCUCAAACCAUCCGCAAUGAAAUCGCCUCUGAAGUCCACUAUCUCUCAAACAAACACGGUAAGGUCCCGGGGCUGGCUGUAGUGAUCGUGGGCAACAGGAAGGAUUCUCAAAGCUAUGUGAGUAUGAAGAGAAAGGCAUGUGCCGAAGUGGGGAUUAAGUCAUUUGACAUAGACCUUCCAGAGCAAGUUUCUGAAGCUGAUUUGGUCGCUAAGGUUCAUGAGUUAAAUGCAAAUCCUGAUGUACAUGGCAUAUUGGUUCAACUUCCAUUGCCGAAGCAUAUAAAUGAAGAGACAGUUCUGACUGAAAUCAGCAUUGAGAAGGAUGUGGAUGGCUUUCAUCCACUAAACAUUGGCAAGCUUGCAAUGAAAGGCAGAGAACCCUUGUUCCAUCCUUGCACCCCCAAGGGGUGUCUUGAACUUCUGUCACGAAGUGGUAUAACUAUAAAGGGGAAAAAGGUAGUCGUGGUGGGUUGAAGUAACAUUGUUGGAUUGCCAGUUUCACUACUGCUUCUGAAAGCAGAUGCUACAGUUACCAUAGUCCAUUCACAUUCUCAAGAUCCCAAAAGAAUAAUUCAUGAUGCAGACAUCAUUAUUGCAGCGGCAGGGCAGGCAAUGAUGGUCAAAGGCAGUUGGAUCAAACCAGGUGCUGCAGUUAUUGAUGUUGGCACAAAUGCAAUCGAUGACCCAAGUAAGAAGUCAGGCUAUAGGCUAGUUGGAGAUGUUGAUUUCCAGGAAGCAUGUAAGGUAGCCGAAUGGAUAACUCCUGUUCCAGGUGGUGUGGGUCCAAUGACUGUUGCAAUGCUAUUGAAGAAUACUUUGGAAGGUGCUAAGCGUGUAAUUGAGCAUUAAAUUCAUGUCUUUGUUCACUUUCGUAAUAAGAUGUUUAUGUCACAAUCCAUCAUCGAAUGUUGCUUCUUUGCUUGUAUGAAUUGUAUAUGAUGACAAUGUUUUGUAAGUGCCAAUGAAGCAAUGAGUACGGCUAAGAAGACAAAUUUAUUUUAA